rnacentral:lncRNA from 1 species
UCGGAGCUUUGGCAUGAAUCACUGUGCACAGACUUAAACAACAAAUGCACUGUCAUUCUUUCCCUUUGCUAUUUUAAAUUACGUGGGGGGAGAAAAAGUCUCAUCUAGAACCUACUGAAGUGAAUGGGAUGACUUCUUUAAUUUAAGGCGAUCUUGGUUUAUAUUUUAGGACCUUACAUAAGAGCUGCCUACAUCCUCCCUCUUCCCUGAGCAGUUGGAGGAAAGCUGAGCACAUCCUCCCCUGCAUCGCGUGGCUCUUCUCUGCAGACAAGAAGUGAGGUUAAGAGUUGGUUAAUUCAUCAUUUGACUGCAAAAGGAGCCCUCAUGAUGGUGGGACAGCUGAGCAGUGAGCCAUUGAGAAGUCUUUUGUCACCGAGGGGAGAUGGAGAAUUUGGUGAAGACAGAUCUUUGGGACACGUGGGGCUGCUGGGCUCACACCACCUCCUCCUGCCUCUGGCCUGACUGGAGAUAAGCAGCCUGUGCCUGUGAUAGGUCUCUUCAUCCCAAAAUAUGCGCAGCAAAGUAUGUAUUUAAUGUAAUCAGCCUGUAGGCUAUAGAUCAACAGCAUUUUCUGCUUUGUGCAGCUUCUCGAAUGAGUCAUGUUUUCCUCUUCAUUUGGAUGUGCGUAUCCUCCAAGCCAGUUGAUAAAUCGUUCUUCCCUAACUCAAUUAAAUGUGGUUGUGUUUUCCUGUAGUGCUACAGUUUAAUUCACAGCAUUGCAGAGAAUGUACUGUAACGAGGCUUCUUGUAAGUUGUUUGUACACGUUGCAGUUUUGUCUAAAAGAGCUACUGCUGUAAAGUGAAUUAUGGAUUUCUAGAGAGGAAAAAAGGUUCCUUGGGCUGCACCUUUAAUAAAACCUCCGAGAUCAGUGCCUGGAGGAUCCUG